rnacentral:rRNA from 1 species
UACGAAGGGGGCUAGCGUUGCUCGGAAUGACUGGGCGUAAAGGGCGCGUAGGCGGCUUGUUUAGUCAGGCUGUGAAAUUCCUGGGCUUAACCUGGGGGCUGCGCUUGAUACAGGCAGGCUUGAGUGCGGAAGAGGGUCGUGGAAUUCCCAGUGUAGAGGUGAAAUUCGUAGAUAUUGGGAAGAACACCGGUGGCGAAGGCGGCGACCUGGUCCGUGACUGACGCUGAGGCGCGAAAGCGUGGGGAGCAAACAGG